AUUGAACGCUGGCGGCAGGCCUAACACAUGCAAGUCGAGCGGAUGAAGGGAGCUUGCUCCUGGAUUCAGCGGCGGACGGGUGAGUAAUGCCUACGAAUCUGCCUGGUAGUGGGGGAUAACGUCCGGAAACGGGCGCUAAUACCGCAUACGUCCUGAGGGAGAAAGUGGGGGAUCUUCGGACCUCACGCUAUCAGAUGAGCCUAGGUCGGAUUAGCUAGUUGGUGGGGUAAAGGCCUACCAAGGCGACGAUCCGUAACUGGUCUGAGAGGAUGAUCAGUCACACUGGAGCUGAGACACGGUCCAGACUCCUACGGGAGGCAGCAGUGGGGAAUAUUGGACAAUGGGCGAAAGCCUGAUCCAGCCAUGCCGCGUGUGUGAAGAAGGUCUUCGGAUUGUAAAGCACUUUAAGUUGGGAGGAAGGGCAGUAAGUUAAUACCUUGCUGUUUUGACGUUACCAACAGAAUAAGCACCGGCUAACUUCGUG
rnacentral:rRNA from 1 species